UUCAGAUGCUCUCUCAUCUCCACUCUCCUCUCAAACCUAACCCUAGACUCCUCCACUCCCCUCCGUCUCCAGUCAUCUCCGAUGACUAUCCCUAUCAACCCGAGUCUCCAAUGGGUCUCUCAUCACCCUGCUCAUCAUCUCUAAGGCCUUCAAGGAUCCUGGGCCACGUUGAUCUGGACCUAAGGUUUCUAUUUCUGUUACUUAUGGGUUCUCCCGUGUGAUUUUGGGCAAAAUCACACCUUAUAUGUCACGAUCGGUGAAGUUUCAACAGGUUCUUUCGAUUUUUACUUGGGUUUCCUUUUGAAAACUUAACUCCC
rnacentral:lncRNA from 1 species